ACUUUUAGUCUGCGUUUCUUUUCCGGUUAAAACUAUUCCUUGUGUACUGAUGUCACAACAGAUCAGGUGGUCAGCUACGAGAUAAAAGUUUCUUUUGUGAGUGAACUUGGCAUUAGUUACAAUAAUGGCGUGAGGUAACAGAGACAUGGAGAGUGACUCAACCUUCAUUGUUCAAGGAAUCACAAGAUUAACACUUGAACUCAGAUGAUUCAUGGUCCACAGAGAUUGGCGAUUCAGUGAAACAUCUGUUGUUGAAUGGCUGUUGCACAUUUCAGUAUUUCCCCAACCAUGGUGACUCAUGGAAUGAAAUCAAACAUUUUUGACGACAAGGUUUUACAUGUGUCAGGCAAUUCCAGUACAACACUGACCCCGCCACUGAUGAACUCCCCCAUGUUGAGAAACGGCUCCUUCAUUCCUUCAGCAGUAAUCUCACAACCCCCCUGUCAGUGGAUUCUGUACGCUGAUGUUGGCAACUCAGGGGUGAGGAUCUGGGAUCUCAUCAUCCUCAUCCCCAAUGCACUGUUCCUGAUGUUCCUGCUAUGGCGUCUCAAGUCCACCGUCUCCAAGCUCAGGACACACACAAGCCCCAUCUUCAUGGCCUUCUAUUUUCUUGUGUUCCUGGUAGCAGUGAUCAGCGUCUUGCGGUGUAUUGUGUCAAUGACAGUCAAUGCAUCUGUCCUGGCAGGAGAUAUAGCAGACAAGGUGCUGUGGUUGAUCCUGCGGUUUUUCCUGCUGGCGACUGAGCUGUCAGUUGUCACCUUCGGUCUGGCAUUUGGUCAUCUGGACAGUCAUACAAGUAUCCGCCGGGUGGUGGUUGUCACCUUCACUGUAGCACUUGCCUACUCCUGUACCCAGGGAACACUUGAGUUUGUGCGUCCGGACCCAAAGUUCCAUGUGGAGUCUGGUGCAAAUGCUACGGAGAACUUUGACAUCUUUGCCCAUGGUGGCAUGAUCUUCUGGUUCUCAAGUUCCCUCUUCUUCUCUAUUGUGUAUAGUGUUAUAUUUAUCCUUCCGUGGACAAACCUGAAGACCAAGCUCUCACUUCCUUCCAGAAAGUCCUUCUACUACUAUUCUCUGUUCCUGGCCAUCUUGAACCUGACUCAGGCUGUUGGCAGUGGACUCAUCUACUUCAGUGUGGGGAGGGGUCUGUGUGUGGUGGAUGUCACGACGUAUGUCUACUUCACGUGUUUCGAUCCCCUCGUCUACGGGACAUUCUUGAGGGAGUUCUUCAGCAUCUCCAUCCCAAGCAUCCCGUUCUCUUACAAGCAUCAGGUGGACGAGAUCCCCGACGAGGACACGCUCAGCCUGCCGUACCAGACGCCCUUCGAGCGGGACAAGGACGAGGGUGUGGCCUUCAGCAACAGCUUUGACAGCACCCACUUCAACCGACAGAGUCAAGCCAGUUCACCUAAUGGUUCUGUUAACACAGUGCCACCUAGUCUCUCCAUCAACAGCGAUUACUAUCAGGCUUCGGCCUAAGGGGAGAUAACUGCCGACAUCCCAUCGUGCUAGGAGCCUUGAUGUUGUGAAGCGGGUUUCCCAGUACCUUCAAUAUGCUGUUGUAGAAGUCCAGAGAGGCAAUGGCAACAUGUUAUUUAAUUUGUUGUCCUGCUAUAUGUGAUGUAGAUAAUGCAUUUGUGUGGAGCCUAUGAUCUGCAUACACACAUGUGUACUAGGAUGGCUGAGCUGAUGGUGUACUUAUAUAGUGUCGCAGAUACAGGCCAACUGAGCACAGGCCCCUGUCUUUGAGGGUUGCAGAAACUGGACGCUGCGUGACUCUGCCUUGUUGCCUUUAGAAAGGGAUUAAACUGGCACUUGUCUGUAUCUCCUCAGAAUUGUAGAAGCAACUUGUAGAAUUCAGUGACAACUUGAGAAUUCUUGCCACACUCUUGGACAACAGGAAUAUUGUGAUGUUUUUCUGCGAAUCUGUGAGUCUGUGACUUAGGGAAUCUGAGAUGUUUCUGUGAACUCAUCGCAAGUGAACUUCUUGUCUGCCAUUUUGUGUAGUUGUCUAGUCUGCUGAUAUCUGGUUCAAUAAGCAUCUUACAGCAGCAUUGUUCUGUGUGGAAGUAGGGACAGCCUUCUGCUCGACAGGUCUGAACAAGCAGAUGCUCAUACUGGUGAGAGUUGUGUCCCUUGAUACACUGACUGUUAAGGCAGACUCCGGCAGAGGAUGUUGUAUGGCUGACUGUUAUUGGUGGCCUCAGGGUAAAGCUAAGUGACAUGGAGUGAUCGCUGAGUCGUGACAAAUAGAAACAUAAUGGUCUGAUGUUCAUUAUAUGACUAAUCGUUGUUUGUGUUGUAGCAUGUUUUGCUGUGCAGUGUUUACACUUAUAUGAUGAACAAAAAUAUCAGUUUCCAUGGUAACCUGGCGUGAUAGCAUUGAGUUGUGGGAAUGACUGACUAUGUAACUUCUUUAAGUUGUUUAGCUCAUGUUAUGUAUCAUAAUAUUGUACAUGUGAUUAUAUCAAAAGAUCUUUUGUUUGUGUUUCCUGCUGGUCCCCACCAGACCAUGUAGACAAGAAGGAUUGGUACAUUGUGAGUAACACUACCUUAUUUCAUCCCACCAAGUGAUGAUUUGUAAUACAUGUUGCCUAUUGAAAUCCUGAAGUAGUUUAGACUUAAUUGGUGCAGGUGGGAAAAUGUACUGUUUAUAAACAUGAUGAACAAAACUGUACUGUUUAUAAACAUGAUAAACAAGUAAACAUGUAGCCUUGACUAUGGACCUGUAGAUGAGGUUCGGGUUAGCGAGUGGUCCAGGGCAAUUGUCCUCUGUGUAGAGAUGCGCCAUAUAGUCAUGCCAGC